rnacentral:tRNA from 2 species
AUCGGUUCAAAUCCGAUAAAGGGCU